rnacentral:rRNA from 1 species
GACGAACGCUGGCGGCGUGCUUAACACAUGCAAGUCGAACGGAAAGGCCUGCUUUCCCUUGUGUAUUGCGGGUACUCGAGUGGCGAACGGGUGAGUAACACGUGAGCUAUCUUUCCCCAACUUGUGACGAAGCCUGGGAAACUGGGUCAAAUUACCGAUAGGACUGCAGGGUGGUGCCGGUGGUGGAAACCGAUGCUCUAGUGGUUGGGGAUGAGCUCGCGGCCUAUCAGCUGGUUGGUGGGGUACUGGCCUACCAAGGCGGGGACGGGUAGCCGGCCUGGGAGGGUGGACAGCGGCAUUGGGACUGGGACACGGCCCCGACGCCUACGGGCGGCAGCAGUUGGGAGUCAUGGGCGGUGAGCGUAAGCCUGAUGCAGCGACGCCGCGUGGGGGAUGACGGGCUUCGGGUGGUAAUCUCCUGGCGAACGCGAGGAAGCCGCUUGGUUGGAGGGGUGGUGACGGUAGUGGUAGAAGAAGCACCGGCUAACUACGUG